CGGUCAGAGAAUUGAGAGAGAGAGAGAGAGAGGAGACCGAGAAAAUAGAGAAGAUAUGGAGUUCAGAGAAGACACGACGGUCGGUCACCACCACCGGAGUCAUGCCUCACCGUCGCUAUUAAGCUUGAAAGUGUGAAGCUUUGACUUGAUUCUUAAUAAACUUAAUGGAUUUCAUGAGUUUUAUCACCUCGUGAUCACCAAUCUAUCUACAUUCUUGGGUUUGUUGUUUGUUUGCUGCUGUUUUCACUGUUAGUGGGUGACAGUUCUUCAGAUAAUAGAGUAUCGGCUUGUGAGCGAUUCAAUGAGUCCUUCUCUGUAUCCGAUUGAGUGGUGGGAGUACGUGAUGGAAUACAUCAAGGAGAUUACUUAUCUCCUUAAUAAUUCAGUGUCUAGUGGAUGUUGGAUCAAGUUUGAUGGGGACAUUAGAUGAAGUUGGAGUCACGCGAGAGAGAAGGUAGGAGAUGGUAAUAAAUGCAGAAGAAGCUUGAAGGUGGAGGAGGCAAACCAACCAUUGUCGCAGUGGUGGUGGAGACGUGGAGGCAAGGUCAAGCAUGGAGGCCGGAGGAGGCAACACGGCUAAGCAUAUUUGUUUUUUAGGUUUAGGUUUAGUGUAAACCGAUAACAAUAGGUUUUUUUCCUGGUUUGAUUGUUUUAUCUCUGAAGUUAAAUCAUUUAUGGAAAUACAGUUAUAAACUUUUCAUGUUUAAUGUAAAAUUUGCAAUUUCA